rnacentral:tRNA from 1 species
GAGAUGAUGGCUCAGAGGUUAAGGGCACUGACUGAAGCUCCAGAGGACCUGGGUUCAAUUCCCAGGAUGUCA